GAUGAACGCUGGCGGCGUGCCUAAUACAUGCAAGUCGAGCGAACGGACGAGAAGCUUGCUUCUCUGAUGUUAGCGGCGGACGGGUGAGUAACACGUGGAUAACCUACCUAUAAGACUGGGAUAACUUCGGGAAACCGGAGCUAAUACCGGAUAAUAUUUUGAACCGCAUGGUUCAAAAGUGAAAGACGGUCUUGCUGUCACUUAUAGAUGGAUCCGCGCUGCAUUAGCUAGUUGGUAAGGUAACGGCUUACCAAGGCAACGAUGCAUAGCCGACCUGAGAGGGUGAUCGGCCACACUGGAACUGAGACACGGUCCAGACUCCUACGGGAGGCAGCAGUAGGGAAUCUUCCGCAAUGGGCGAAAGCCUGACGGAGCAACGCCGCGUGAGUGAUGAAGGUCUUCGGAUCGUAAAACUCUGUUAUUAGGGAAGAACAUAUGUGUAAGUAACUGUGCACAUCUUGACGGUACCUAAUCAGAAAGCCACGGCUAACUACGUGCCAGCAGCCGCGGUAAUACGUAGGUGGCAAGCGUUAUCCGGAAUUAUUGGGCGUAAAGGCGCGCGUAGGCGGUUUUUUAAGUCUGAUGUGAAAGCCCACGGCUCAACCCGUGGAGGGUCAUUGGAAACUGGAAAACUUGAGUGCAGAAGAGGAAAGUGGAAUUCCAUGUGUAGCGGUGAAAUGCGCAGAGAUAUGGAGGAACACCAGUGGCGAAGGCGACUUUCUGGUCUGUAACUGACGCUGAUGUGCGAAAGCGUGGGGAUCAAACAGGAUUAGAUACCCUGGUAGUCCACGCCGUAAACGAUGAGUGCUAAGUGUUAGGGGGUUUCCGCCCCUUAGUGCUGCAGCUAACGCAUUAAGCACUCCGCCUGGGGAGUACGACCGCAAGGUUGAAACUCAAAGGAAUUGACGGGGACCCGCACAAGCGGUGGAGCAUGUGGUUUAAUUCGAAGCAACGCGAAGAACCUUACCAAAUCUUGACAUCCUUUGACAACUCUAGAGAUAGAGCCUUCCCCUUCGGGGGACAAAGUGACAGGUGGUGCAUGGUUGUCGUCAGCUCGUGUCGUGAGAUGUUGGGUUAAGUCCCGCAACGAGCGCAACCCUUAAGCUUAGUUGCCAUCAUUAAGUUGGGCACUCUAAGUUGACUGCCGGUGACAAACCGGAGGAAGGUGGGGAUGACGUCAAAUCAUCAUGCCCCUUAUGAUUUGGGCUACACACGUGCUACAAUGGACAAUACAAAGGGCAGCGAAACCGCGAGGUCAAGCAAAUCCCAUAAAGUUGUUCUCAGUUCGGAUUGUAGUCUGCAACUCGACUACAUGAAGCUGGAAUCGCUAGUAAUCGUAGAUCAGCAUGCUACGGUGAAUACGUUCCCGGGUCU
rnacentral:rRNA from 1 species